rnacentral:rRNA from 1 species
AUGGCAUCAUCUUCGGACCCAUGGAUGAAAGAGUACACUGAAGCAUCUAAGCUUGUUGAUGAUAUAAGCUCCAUGAUUGCCGAUAGAAGUUCUCUUCCACAAUCAGGCCCCGAAAUUAUGCGCCACACAUCAGCCAUCCGGAGAAAAAUAACCAUUCUUGGGACUAGACUGGAUAGCUUGGUGACAUUGUUGUCCAGGAUUCCUCCAAAGUCACUCACUGACAAGGAGAUGCAUAAGCGCCAAGAUGCACUUUCCAAUUUGAAAUCUAAAGCAAAACAGAUGGGGACAAGUUUCAACGUGUCAAACUUUGCCAACAGGGAGGAUUUGCUUGGUCAGAGUAAGAAAGCAGCUGAUGAUAUGAGCAGAGUUGCUGGGUUAGACAACCAAGGAAUUGUUGGCCUUCAGAGGCAAGUUAUGAGAGAACAAGAUGAGGGCCUCGAAAGGCUGGAGGAGACAGUCCUGAGCACAAAACAUAUUGCAUUAGCAGUCAAUGAAGAACUUACUCUGCAUACAAGAUUGAUUGAUGACUUGGAAGAUCAUGUUGACGUUACAAACUCCCGUCUUCAGGUAGAUAUCUUACUGCUACUAUUUGAUAUCGAAGUUCCGUUCACGUGGAUGUGCACUGACGUGACUCUCUUGAUUCAGCGUGUGCAAAAGAGGCUUGCAAUUCUGAACAAGCGCGCCAAAGGUGGCUGCUCAUGCAUGUGCCUAAUGCUCUCUGUUGCUGCCAUAGUGCUGCUCGCGGUUAUCGUUUGGCUUCUCAUCAAGUACCUGUAA